CUUCUGGAGGAUCCCAACUGUAAACUGGAGACACUAGGACUGUCAAACUGCAGUAUUACAGAAGAGGGCUUCAGCUCCCUUGCAUCAGCGCUGAGAUCAAACCCUUCACACAUGAGAGAGCUGUUGCUGGAAAGGAGUAAAGCAGGAGACACAGGAGUGAAGCAUCUUUCUUCUCUUCUGGAGUAUCCCAACUGUAAGCUGGAAACACUAGACCUGGAAGACUGCAGUAUUACAGAAGAGGGCUUCA